rnacentral:rRNA from 1 species
UACGGGGGGAGCAAGCGUUGUUCGGAUUCAUUGGGCGUAAAGGGUGCGUAGGCGGCGCGGUAAGUCGGGUGUGAAAUUUCGAGGCUUAACUUCGAAACUGCAUUCGAUACUGCCGUGCUUGAGGACUGGAGAGGAGACUGGAAUUUACGGUGUAGCGGUGAAAUGCGUAGAUAUCGUAAGGAAGACCAGUGGCGAAGGCGGGUCUCUGGACAGUUCCUGACGCUGAGGCACGAAGGCCAGGGGAGCAAACGGG